rnacentral:rRNA from 1 species
UGGGGAAUAUUGGACAAUGGGCGCAAGCCUGAUCCAGCCAUGCCGCGUGAGUGAUGAAGGCCCUAGGGUUGUAAAGCUCUUUCACCGGUGAAGAUAAUGACGGUAACCGGAGAAGAAGCCCCGGCUAACUUCGUGCCAGCAGCCGCGGUACUACGAAGGGGGCUAGCGUUGUUCGGAUUUACUGGGCGUAAAGCGCACGUAGGCGGACUAUUAAGUCAGGGGUGAAAUCCCGGGGCUCAACCCCGGAACUGCCUUUGAUACUGGUAGUCUUGAGUUCGAGAGAGGGGAGUGGAAUUCCGAGUGUAGAGGUGAAAUUCGUAGAUAUUCGGAGGAACACCAGUGGCGAAGGCGGCUCACUGGCUCGAUACUGACGCUGAGGUGCGAAAGCGUGGGGAGCAAACAGG